CAGAAGAAAUGAGCUCUCAUCAGUCACAGUAUCAUCGUUGAGUGAUGUCAGUUCUGUCAUGCCUGCAGCUGGAAACUAAUUUGUAACACUGGCCACCACUAGUCCUCUUCAUAAAAUGCAAAGUGGAGAGAGGUGUGAAGGUGAGCUUCAGGAACCCUUACUCACAUGAGCCACUUUCAAAGCCUGGAAACGUCCCAGGGAUGAUGUUCCAAGAUAAUGAAUACUUCCAUAGCAACAAAAGUCUGACGAUAAACUGUUACCUUGAUUUUCACAUGUUCAAAGAAAAAUCCCUCAAUGGCAACCAAACCAGAAGUCUCAGCACUGAAUAUGCAAUAAUGGCUACAAGGGAACCAUGUAUCUAUUUAAUUUUCUUAACAACACUGUUGAUUAUUCUCUUGGAAAGGAAUUCAGACUGGAUUAGAUGCUCUUAUUUUUCAGUUGUGUAGCUUGUCUUCUGCAAUUAAAAUGUGAAGCUGCUUUUGAAACAAUGCAGUUCUUGCUGCUCCUGCCUACAGUGAUCGAGAGUUCAGAAGAUGUGUUCUGAACACACCUGGACCAUAACCUCCAAAGCUAAAGAAGAUGCAGAUAAGGCAGAGCAGUUGCAGGCCCAGCAACCAUAAGAUGAUGAGAUGCAUGGACUACAAGAUGUCUGCUUCUCCUCUUUGUUCUUACUAAACAACUGGACCCUGAAGACAAUAGGCUCAGAGGAACUCAGGAUCUUGAUUCUGGUUGGAUUUGUGCUGUUUUUCUGACCAAGAACAAAGGUGGAAAAUCCACUUCACGUUUCUAGCAACAUUCCGGUUUCAUAGUAACACAAGUCACUGCUUUCAGAGAAGUGGACAUUUGGAAUUUUGUAAUAAGCCACAGCCUGAAUAUUUCACAUUUUAUCUGCAUGUUUGGGGACUGCGAGGACCCGCAGAACGUGAUGUGAUUGAGCACAGGCUGUGCCUAAUGCAGCAUUUGUAAUUCACGGAAGGAGAAAAGCUGGUAACAGCAGAAACGUACAUGUAUUUGAGCCAGA